rnacentral:rRNA from 1 species
CAGAACGAACGCUGGCGGUGCGUUUAAGCAUGCAAGUUGAGCGGUAGUAGUAGCAAUACUAUGAGAGCGGCGGACGGGUGAGUAACACGUGGAUAAUCUACCUUGAAGUUUGGGAUAUACCGUGGAAACACGGAGUAAUACCGGAUAAGACGGUACUUGGAGACGGGUAUUGGGAAAGGUGCUACGGCAUCGCUUUGAGAUGAGUCCGCGGCCCAUUAGCUAGAUGGCAGGGUAAAGGCCUACCAUGGCGAUGAUGGGUAGCCGGCCUGAGAGGGUGUACGGCCACAUUGGGACUGAGACACGGCCCAGACUCCUACGGGAGGCAGCAGCUAAGAAUCUUCCGCAAUGGACGAAAGUCUGACGGAGCGACACCGCGUGAAAUGAUGAAGGCCGAAAGGUUGUAAAGUUCUUUUCAGUUGGAGGAAUAAGCUUUUGAGGGAAUGCGAGGGUGAUGACGUUAAAACUGGAAUAAGCCCCGGCUAACUACGUGCCAGCAGCGGC